UAUGGGUAUCUACUCAGGAUCAGUCUGGAACAGUCAUCUAGAAAUUGAAUUUUCUUCUCUAAGAAAAUUCAGCCCGCUGAAUCUGAAUGAAGCCUAGAUCAUGAUCAAUACUUGAUCUCUUUUCUUGAUCUUCUUCUUCUUCUCUUCUCUAGCGUUUCUCCCUUACUAUAUGCUGCUACCAGAUAUUGAAAACCAGCAAGAAAGAAAACACCCAAAGCCUUGGGCGUGGAAGGGCUUGGGACAUCCCAAAGGAUAGGGCAUGUGGGAUGCCCAAGGGGAGA
rnacentral:lncRNA from 1 species